rnacentral:rRNA from 1 species
CAGGGGGUGCAAACGUUGCUCGGAAUUAUUGGGCGUAAAGCGCGCGUAGGCGGCCACUUAAGUCGGAUGUGAAAGCCCCUGGCUCAACUGGGGAAGUGCACCCGAAACUGAAUGGCUUGAAUGCAAAAGAGGGUCGCGGAAUUCCCGGUGUAGAGGUGAAAUUCGUAGAUAUCGGGAGGAACACCGGUGGCGAAGGCGGCGACCUGGGUUGACAUUGACGCUGAGGCGCGAAAGCGUGGGGAGCAAACAGGAUUAGAUACCCUGGUAGUCCACGCCGUAAACGAUGGGUGCUAGAUGUUUCUGGUAUUGACCCCGGAGGCGUCGUAGCUAACGCGUUAAGCACCCCGCCUGGGAAGUACGGCCGCAAGGCUA